GUCUGGUCGGGGGUGAAACCCACGCAUGGGGGAGAAACCAAACCACUGCUGAAGACGCAUUUGGACAAGGGCGGGGAUGGUACUUUCCCGGGUGAACCCCUAAUAUUCCACCGGGGAAUCUAGCUCCCCCAGUCAAGGCUAGGAACCGAUCUCACGCUGCAUCUCCUCGCGAACAACACCGAUAGCGUGUCCUCCCUUGGCGGUAGCAGUUGCGCUUCUUCCUCCGGUGACCAGGCAAUUUUGCUAGGACCAUGAAAAGGCUUCAGCUGACAAUCCUGUUGAACAUUAAGGUGUAAUAUAUAUAGAGCAGUGGUAUAAGUGAUUACUUUUUCUCACAACACAUUACAACUGAAACUCUCAUUUGUCAGUUUUAUUCAAUUAGGACUUAAGGCAACAUAGGAUCUGAUCAGAUUUACAAACAUUACAAAUGAAAACAUAUAAUCUGAAGCCAUGUUUUCUUUGCCUAUAUGCCAUGUGCUGCCUAACGGUAAGAGAUCGGAAGCAUGUAACAGUUCAAGUUCUUCGACACUCGAUGCUUGUUCAUGACUUUCUCAAGGUUUGUGGGACUACCUACUACAUGGCCAGUUGGUUGAAGGUAGUACAAAGUUGGGUACCCGGAUGAAUCAAGCUAUUCCUAUCAAAUGGUGCCAAAACCUCAGAAUUUCCCAUGAACUGAACACCUAAUAGGCUUCAGACUUUUUCUUUUGGGUAGGUUAUUCUUUUUUUUUAUGAUGUCUUGUGCCAAAAAAUUUUUAUGAUGUCUUGUGUCAGAAGCAGGACCAGUAUUGAGCUUUGCUUGCUUUCUAGUAAAAUUCAUUUCUUGUUCCCAUACUUUGGUAUCUGUAAUUUGUCAUACUAAUGUGAAUAGAUAUAGUGUUAUACAUUGUC